rnacentral:rRNA from 1 species
GUUGAACGCUGGCGGCAGGCUUAACACAUGCAAGUCGAGCGGGGUGAUGGUGCUUGCACUAUCACUUAGCGGCGGACGGGUGAGUAAUGCUUAGGAAUCUGCCUAUUAGUGGGGGACAACAUCUCGAAAGGGAUGCUAAUACCGCAUACGUCCUACGGGAGAAAGCAGGGGAUCACUUGUGACCUUGCGCUAAUAGAUGAGCCUAAGUCGGAUUAGCUAGUUGGUGGGGUAAAGGCCUACCAAGGCGACGAUCUGUAGCGGGUCUGAGAGGAUGAUCCGCCACACUGGGACGGAGACACGGCCCAGCCUCCUACGGGAGGCAGCAGUGGGGAAUAUUGGACAAUGGGGGGAACCCUGAUCCAGCCAUGCCGCGUGUGUGAAGAAGGCCUUGUGGUUGUAAAGUACUUUAAGCGAGGAGGAGGCUCUUUUGGUUAAUACCCAAGAUGAGUGGACGUUACUCGCAGAAUAAGCACCGGCUAACUCUGUGCCAGCCGCCGCCGUAA